rnacentral:rRNA from 1 species
AGUGAACGCUGGCGGUAGGCCUAACACAUGCAAGUCGAACGGCAGCACAGUAAGAGCUUGCUCUUACGGGUGGCGAGUGGCGGACGGGUGAGGAAUAUAUCGGAAUCUACUUUUUCGUGGGGGAUAACGUAGGGAAACUUACGCUAAUACCGCAUACGACCUACGGGUGAAAGCAGGGGAUCUUCGGACCUUGCGCGAUUGAAUGAGCCGAUGUCGGAUUAGCUAGUUGGCGGGGUAACGGCCCACCAAGGCGACGAUCCGUAGCUGGUCUGAGAGGAUGAUCAGCCACACUGGAACUGAGACACGGUCCAGACUCCUACGGGAGGCAGCAGUGGGGAAUAUUGGACAAUGGGCGCAAGCCUGAUCCAGCCAUACCGCGUGGGUGAAGAAGGCCUUCGGGUUGUAAAGCCCUUUUGUUGGGAAAGAAAAGCAGCAGGUUAAUACCCCGCUGUUCUGACGGUACCCAAAGAAUAAGCACCGGCUAACUUCGUG